rnacentral:rRNA from 1 species
CACCGCGGUUAUACGAGGGACCCAAGUUGAUAAGCGCCGGCGUAAAGAGUGGUUAUGGAAAACUAGCGAAACUAAAGCCGAAUGCCCCCAAGGCUGUUAUACGCACCCGAGGGCCAGAAACUCAACUACGAAAGUGGCUUUACCUAACCUGAACCCACGAAAGCUAUGACA